rnacentral:rRNA from 1 species
AGCGAACGCUGGCGGCAGGCCUAACACAUGCAAGUCGAACGAAGUCUUCGGACUUAGUGGCGGACGGGUGAGCAACACGUGGGAACGUGCCUUUAGGUUCGGAAUAACUCAGGGAAACUUGUGCUAAUACCGAAUGUGCCCUUCGGGGGAAAGAUUUAUCGCCUUUAGAGCGGCCCGCGUCUGAUUAGCUAGUUGGUGGGGUAAUGGCCCACCAAGGCUACGAUCAGUAGCUGGUCUGAGAGGAUGACCAGACACAUUGGGACUGAGAAACGGCACAAACUCCUACGGGAGGCAGCAGUGGGGAAUCUUGCGCAAUGGGCGAAAGCCUGACGCAGCCAUGCCGCGUGGAUGAUGAAGGUCUUAGGAUUGUAAAAUCCUUUCACCGGUGAAGAUAAUGACUGUAGCCGGAGAAGAAGCCCCGGCUAACUUCGUGCCAGCCGCCGCAGUAAAAC